rnacentral:rRNA from 1 species
UACGGGGGGGGUAAGCGUUGUUCGGAAUUACUGGGCGUAAAGGGUCUGUAGGUGGCUUGCUAAGUCAGACGUGAAAUCCCUCAGCUUAACUGGGGAACUGCGUCUGAGACUGGCGAGCUUGAGUGCAGGAGAGGAACGCGGAAUUCCAGGUGUAGCGGUGAAAUGCGUAGAUAUCUGGAGGAACACCGGUGGCGAAGGCGGCGUUCUGGACUGCAACUGACACUGAGAGACGAAAGCCAGGGGAGCAAGCGGG